UGGGGAAUAUUGCACAAUGGGGGAAACCCUGAUGCAGCAACGCCGCGUGAGUGAAGAAGUAUUUCGGUAUGUAAAGCUCUAUCAGCAGGGAAGAAAAUGACGGUACCUGACUAAGAAGCUCCGGCUAAAUACGUGCC
rnacentral:rRNA from 1 species